rnacentral:lncRNA from 1 species
GAAAAAUGAGAAGAGAUAUAUAAAUCCUUGAAGUAUCGAAAACCCCUUUUUUUUUCUUUCUUCAGUGCAGUUUCAGCUGCCCUCCGAUUGAAAACCCUCAAAUCUCCGUCUUCUUCUCCGCCCUCGGAUCCAGGGCUCCGACCAUCUAUCCCUUCUUUUACCUUCCCUCUCCUCCACUAUCAUUCUCUCCCCCACCCACCCCUUUCACAACAAACCCUAAAAAAACAAACUCUUUUUCUUCUUACCACAGAAAAAAAAAAACCCCAAAACAUUCUUCUUCCUAUUUCUUCCUUACUAUCAAUUUCUCUUCUUUUUUCUGUUCAUCUUGCCGUUACUGCUUUAUUCUGAAUAAUAGAGGAGAGGGAAGCGAGUCAAAGAUAAAAAAAAAUCUAAAAAUUUUUUGAAAAAUCAAAAAGAAAACAACACACAACAUUCCACCGAGUUUUUCUCUCUCUCCACCAUGGCUCAGGUUCCACCUCAACCUCAAGUUCCUAACUCCGGCGCCGAUCCGGCUGCCAAUGGAGGGGCAAAUCAGCAUGUCACCACCUCCCUC